rnacentral:rRNA from 1 species
UCCACACCAUUCGGUGGGGAGGUAUUGUCUUCUGACGAUUUUCCAUGAUUUGGGUGUAGAUAACCCUUAGAGUAGCCAUUGGAGGAAAAGUCUGGUGCCAGCACCCGCGGUAAUUCCAGCUCCAAGAGCGUAUAUUAAUACUGCUGUAGUUAAAACGCCCGUAGUAUACCUAAGAGUGGGUGUGUAGUAAUUAGUUUUGCCAGAGGACGGUUGGCGAGAGUUUAUCACUCUUGUUUACCUACUUUUGGUAGACUUUAGUCGGGCUGGACCUUUGGUCCUCGUCUGACAGUUGCUACGUGCUUACUUACCACGGUUCAUCCGUGAGGCCCUUGGCUUGCAACUGUAAAUAAAUCGUUGUGCUUAAAGCGGGCUAUGAUACUCUGCCAGAGCGAUUUAGCAUGGGACUGCAGAGUAGCUGUAUUUGAGUGAAGGUUGCACCUCGGUGUGGCUGGAGCUUGGUACAGCGCUUGUAAUGGAGCUCAGGGUGAGGCCCCGGGUACCAUGAGGCUAGAGGUGAAAUUCUGAGACCCUCAUGUGACCAACUAAGGCGAAAGCUGUCGUGGGCCACCACAAGCUCGUCUAUCAGGACGAAAGUUGGGGGAUCGAAGACGAUUAGAUACCGUCGUAGUCCCAGCUAUAAACGAUACCACCGAGUAUUUGGGAAGACACUAUCCCAGCGAUCUUCUCAAACUCAAGGGAAACCUUAAGUCUUUGGUCUGGGGGGGAGUAUAGUCGCAAGACCGAAACUUAAAGGAAUUGACGGAAAGGCC